rnacentral:rRNA from 1 species
UACGUAGGGUGCGAGCGUUAUCCGGAAUUAUUGGGCGUAAAGAGCUCGUAGGCGGUUUGUCACGUCUGCUGUGAAAUCCCGAGGCUCAACCUCGGGCCUGCAGUGGGUACGGGCAGACUAGAGUGCGGUAGGGGAGAUUGGAAUUCCUGGUGUAGCGGUGGAAUGCGCAGAUAUCAGGAGGAACACCGAUGGCGAAGGCAGAUCUCUGGGCCGUAACUGACGCUGAGGAGCGAAAGCGUGGGGAGCGAACAGG